AACGAACGCUGGCGGCAUGCCUAACACAUGCAAGUCGAACGAACCCUUCGGGGUUAGUGGCGCACGGGUGCGUAACGCGUGGGAAUCUGCCCUUGGCUUCGGAAUAACAGUUAGAAAUGACUGCUAAUACCGGAUGAUGUCUUCGGACCAAAGAUUUAUCGGCCAGGGAUGAGCCCGCGUAGGAUUAGGUAGUUGGUGAGGUAAAGGCUCACCAAGCCGACGAUCCUUAGCUGGUCUGAGAGGAUGGUCAGCCACACUGGGACUGAGACACGGCCCAGACUCCUACGGGAGGCAGCAGUGGGGAAUAUUGGACAAUGGGCGCAAGCCUGAUCCAGCAAUGCCGCGUGAGUGAUGAAGGCCUUCGGGUCGUAAAGCUCUUUUACCAGGGAUGAUAAUGACAGUACCUGGAGAAUAAGCUCCGGCUAACUCCGUGCCAGCAGCCGCCGUAA
rnacentral:rRNA from 1 species